UGGGGAAUAUUGGACAAUGGGCGAAAGCCUGAUCCAGCCAUGCCGCGUGUGUGAAGAAGGCCCUCGGGUUGUAAAGCACUUUCAGUGGGGAAGAAAGCCUUGGGAUUAAUACUCCCGAGGAAGGACAUCACCCACAGAAGAAGCACCGGCUAACUCCGUGCCAGCAGCCGCGGUAAUACGGAGGGUGCGAGCGUUAAUCGGAAUUACUGGGCGUAAAGCGCGCGUAGGCGGUCUGAUAAGCCGGUUGUGAAAGCCCCGGGCUCAACCUGGGAAUGGCAUCCGGAACUGUCAGGCUAGAGUGCAGGAGAGGAAGGUAGAAUUCCCGGUGUAGCGGUGAAAUGCGUAGAGAUCGGGAGGAAUACCAGUGGCGAAGGCGGCCUUCUGGACUGACACUGACGCUGAGGUGCGAAAGCGUGGGUAGCAAACA
rnacentral:rRNA from 1 species